rnacentral:rRNA from 1 species
UACAGAGGGUGCAAACGUUGUUCGGAAUUACUGGGCGUAAAGCGCGUGUAGGCGGCCUAGUGUGUCGGGCGUGAAAUCCCACGGCUCAACCGUGGAAGUGCACUCGAAACUGCAAGGCUGGAGUACUGGAGAGGAUGGUAGAAUGCUCGGUGUAGAGGUGAAAUUCGUAGAUAUCGAGCGGAAUACCGGUGGCGAAGGCGGCCAUCUGGACAGUCACUGACGCUGAGACGCGAAAGCGUGGGGAGCAAACAGGAUUAGAUACCCUGGUAGUCCACGCCGUAAACGAUGAGUGCUAGGUGUCACGGGCUUUGACCCUCGUGGUGCCGAAGCUAACGCGUUAAGCACUCCGCCUGGGGAGUACGGCCGCAAGGCUAAA